rnacentral:lncRNA from 1 species
UUUUCUGCAUGUUGGUGCCCACCUUGGGUAUCUCUGAAACUUACAUGAUAAUAGUCAUAGACAACCGUAGCUGAUGUUUUAUUGCUUUGGAUGUGAAAAGCAGCCACACUGUCCUGCUGAUUCACCAUCACCGUUUGCUCUACCACUUCACCGUGGGCUCCAUUGCUAAGGGUUCUAAUGAUCUGCAGAAGGGAGAAGUCACAAGAAAUAAGGCAAUACAGUUUGUGUCUUAGAUCUUUGCAGGGUGGUUUCAAGGAAGAUCAUCUGAACAGAUAUUUCAACUUGAUGUUUCAGGAUCAAGCCAGUGUUAAUGGGGAGAGACCAACAAGAAGAUGCUUUGGGAGUUUCAAUGCAGGGUUCUGUGCUCUGACAUGGAUCUUCUGUUCCAUAAGGAAACUGCUGCAACACAGAGGCUAAGAAACUCCAGUGUGUUCUUGAGAUGUGUUAAUUCCAAUAAGAAUUGCUCCAGUAAUGACUAUGGUCAGAAGCACCAGGAUAACAGAGAUGAAGAUUAUUUGCUUCCUGUCCUUGGGAACUGUAGAGUGAUUGCCUACACCUUGCCAACAAGAACAUGGGAAGUUGACAUAGAGUUGCAGGAAUUGCUAAUAACGUAUCUAUACAAGGCCAAAUUCGGAAACAAUAAUUUAAAUGAAAAUAAAAUCAUUUUUUACUCAGUGUGUGUGUGGACCAUCUCUGUCUACUCUCCGAGAGUUCACUGUCUGUGGCAGCCUUCAAAGUCAUCUUCCAGAGUCAUCUCCUCUUUCUGGUGCACAC